rnacentral:rRNA from 1 species
GACGAACGCCGGCGGCGUGCUUAACACAUGCAAGUCGAACGGAAAGGCCCUGCUUUUGUGGGGUGCUCGAGUGGCGAACGGGUGAGUAACACGUGAGUAACCUGCCCUUGACUUUGGGAUAACUUCAGGAAACUGGGGCUAAUACCGGAUAGGAGCUCCUGCUGCAUGGUGGGGGUUGGAAAGUUUCGGCGGUUGGGGAUGGACUCGCGGCUUAUCAGCUUGUUGGUGGGGUAGUGGCUUACCAAGGCUUUGAUGGGUAGCCGGCCUGAGAGGGUGACCGGCCACAUUGGGACUGAGAUACGGCCCAGACUCCUACGGGAGGCAGCAGUGGGGAAUAUUGCACAAUGGGCGGAAGCCUGAUGCAGCAACGCCGCGUGCGGGAUGACGGCCUUCGGGUUGUAAACCGCUUUCACCUGUGACGAAGCGUGAGUGACGGUAAUGGGUAAAGAAGCACCGGCUAACUACGUG